UACGAAGGGGGCUAGCGUUGUUCGGAAUCACUGGGCGUAAAGCGCGUGUAGGCGGACUGUUAAGUCGGGGGUGAAAUCCCGAGGCUCAACCUCGGAAUUGCCUUCGAUACUGGCAGUCUUUGAGUCCGGGAGAGGUGAGUGGAACUCCUAGUGUAGAGGUGAAAUUCGUAGAUAUUAGGAAGAACACCAGUGGCGAAGGCGGCUCAGCUGGCCCGGUACUGACGCUGUGACGCGAAAGCGUAGGGGAGCGGAACG
rnacentral:rRNA from 1 species